rnacentral:rRNA from 1 species
GGGGGGGCAAGCGUUGUUCGGAAUUACUGGGCGUAAAGGGCUCGUAGGCGGCCAACUAAGUCAGACGUGAAAUCCCCAGGCUCAACCUGGGAACUGCGUCUGAUACUGGAUGGCUUGAAUUCGGGAGAGGGAUGCAGAAUUCCAGGUGUAGCGGUGAAAUGCGUAGAUAUCUGGAGGAAUACCGGUGGCGAAGGCGGCAUCCUGGACCGACAUUGACGCUGAGGAGCGAAAGCUAGGGGAGCAAACGGGAUUAGAUACCCCGGUAGUCCUAGCCCUAAACGAUGAAUGCUUGGUGUAACGGGUAUCGAUCCCUGUUGUGCCGAAGCUAACGCAUUAAGCAUUCCGCCUGGGGAGUACGGUCGCAAGGCUG